rnacentral:tRNA from 1 species
GGUUCCGUGUGUAGUGGUUAUCACGUUCGCUUUACAUGCGAAAGGUCCCCGGUUCGAUCCCGGGCGGAACCA